GUCAUUAUCAACCCUCAAGCUUGGCUUGUCAUUGAACCUCAGUCGUUAAAGACGGGUUCGAAAGAUAAUGACGGUGUCGUGUCAACCCUAGAUGCAACGAGCUCUCGUAGCACGCAUUUCAACGGUUGGCAGGCCCGGUCUUUACCCUUAACUUUUCAAUGGUUGACCUCGGAUCAGGUAGGAUUACCCGCUGAACUUAA
rnacentral:misc_RNA from 1 species